GCUGAUGCCAGCCAGGAUGCAUUGUGCAAGUCUAAAUGAGGACACAGCUAUAGCCUGGAAAAGCAUAGCAUAAGGACCACAGGUCAACUGAUCUUCAGUAAACUGCUCUUCGUUUCAAUGCCCUUGAUUUCUCUCUUUCUUCACUCAAGCUGAUUAAACACAGGCCUCAAUAGGGCUUUAUUUCUUCAGGUCAGCAGAUAUAAUUAAUGAUGGACUGAAAAUCAGCAUCUAUUUAUCAAGACCCAGGAACAUUACAUUACGCAUCCAGUUUGCACCAAGUGAUGUUGAAAUAAUGCCUAAGGUAGCAUAAAGUACUCUGAAGAAGAAAUACAGAAGCCCUGAAAUCAAGCAUACUCUUUUGUUAUUUAGAAGCAAUAGCAACAAACUCCAAGGAUUUCUUACCGUGGAAAUACCAGGUUAGUUCCUGAGAUUUUUUUUUUUUCUAAAUAAUGUCGAUGUUCUUGGUUGCUGAAAUAAUUUAGGUCUUUGCUGAAUGUAGACUGGCAGGAAACAUGCAUGAAGAUUGUCAAAAUUGUCCUGCAUUAGCAUUUAUUUAGAUAGUGUUUUCUGUUUAUAAAAUUCUGAUAUUCACUGUCCCUGUACAAAUGUUUUUUGUAACUACCAUGGAGGUAAUCA
rnacentral:lncRNA from 1 species